UAGUAUGUCGGCGAUGGUGUUCGCCUUUAACUAUCAUAAUAACUAUGAUUAAUGACACCUACUUAAAU
rnacentral:ncRNA from 2 species